GCAUCACCUGAAGGUCAUAUACUUCUGUGUCUAGUACAGAUACAUAAUCAGAAAAUGAAAGUCUUAGCUGUCGCAGCGGUCUGUCUGUGUGUCAUUGCGACGACGAACGGCUUCGUGCCGUAUUGAUUCGCCCAUUUGGUCUUGGUAUUCACGGUAUUGGUUUUGGCGUCCCUCCGUUCGGUUUUGGUGUUUCCCCAUUCGGACUCGGGAGACGCCGUGGCCAUUCCGGACAUGGCCUCCAAGGUAUCGGAGGAUAUGGUUACGGCGAUUUUUACGAUCUCUAUGAUUCCAACGUUGCCGCUCGACCCGGUGCCGCUCCAUCCGGUCCAGCCACUUCAGCCGGUGCUGCCCCCGCCGGUGUCAACGCCGCCAUGGACCCUACCAUGAUGACGCUCUAAGUGGAUUCAGCAGCGCUAAUGUAGAUCACGAAGGGUGCACUGAGUGCUGAAUACGAUACAUGACCAUAGCAAAUCUGCUUUGUUUCAACUUUGCACGUUGUUUUCGUUGCAUUUAGUUCCACAACAACGCUUUGACAUCAUGUUACAUCUGAGUGUAGGAAUCAUGUG